rnacentral:misc_RNA from 1 species
AAGUCGUAACAAGGUAUCCGUUGGUGAACCAGCGGAUGGAUCAUUACCUGAAGAAAUUACGCCAAUUGAUUGGUGUGGCUGACUGUUGGUUAGCCUCUGGUUUGGGUUGUGAAUCAGCCUGCCAGUACUCGUGGUGUGCAAUGACGAGAGUUGGUGUUGAAGCCAACAGAGUCGCACGCUUGACUAGUGAAGGGAUUGCUGGGAAGGACUUGCAACGAAGUCCAGGCGAGAAGCACCCUCAAUCCCUGAGACUGCCAUUGACUUCACUGAAGCGAUUGUCUUAAAAGAUGACAACUGCUGGCCGUGGAUCACUUGGCUGACG